rnacentral:lncRNA from 1 species
UGGUUGUUUAUUUUAGUGUCAUUUGGUCUCUUGUGGACAGUUGAGCCUAAUUGGCAAUUAUACCACAUCUUAUUAUUACCAAUAACUCAGACAGCUUGAAUGACAUAGGAUCUUAAAUUAGUCUUUUUUCCACAAAAAACAUUUAACCUUUAAAUCCUUAAAGAAAAACACAACACAGACUUAUGUUUGUUGACUAGCUCGAGAUCAGCAACUGCAUAUUGUGAGCUGCCAUUUAAUAAGACAAAUUAUCAAUAUAAACAUACACUAUACAAUAUGAACUCAACAACUUGUACCAGUACUAGAGAAAUAAUCUCAUGUCAACCUUUUGCAUUUGAAUAACUAUACAUAUACCCUAUAAGUUCAUAUCUAUUAUAAGGCAGAAAUGAAUACAAUAUAUAUAGUGUUGCUGAUAGCCCAGCAAGCAUAGUGGACAACGGAAUUUAUUAAAUAAUUACAUACAUGUGUCUUAAUAUAUAUCUAUAUAUAUUUAUAAGUACGUCUGAGUCAGUGACAACUCUACAACAGAUUUAUCCAUCGGAUCACCAGCAAUGAUGGUGAUACAUGGCUGUGUACAUUAUGUAUAUACAACUCGUCUAAACAUCAACCCAACAAUGUUAGAUCUGUAAAUUUGCUUUUGCAAAUUGUUUUGUUCUUCCCUCGCCGGGAUUCGAACCCAUGCUACUGAGAUAUCGUGACACCUAAUCGCCUGCACUGUAGCCAUCCCGCUAGACCACACAACCACCUGGGCUUCACAAUUAUAAAGCUUUCGGUGGCCGUAUGUUACCUUUCCUCGUCAGUUUUAAUCUAGC